UACGUAGGGUGCGAGCGUUAAUCGGAAUUACUGGGCGUAAAGCGUGCGCAGGCGGUUCGUUGUGUCUGAUGUGAAAGCCCCGGGCUCAACCUGGGAAUGGCAUUGGAAACUGGCGAGCUAGAGUGUGGCAGAGGGGGGUGGAAUUCCGCGUGUAGCGGUGAAAUGCGCAGAUAUCGGGAGGAACACCGGUGGCGAAGGCGGUUCUCUGGGCCUUACCUGACGCUGAGGAGCGAAAGCGUGGGGAGCGAACAGG
rnacentral:rRNA from 1 species